AAAAAAAAUCUCUUUCAUUUUAAACAAAUUUUCUCCCUCCCUUUCACUCUCUCUUACCAAACCCUCUCUUCUCCAACAACGUAGAAUCCAAUCUUCAACAACGGAUCUUUGAUUUCGUGGGCAUUGUCAUUGUCGUGGGUCUCUGUCCAGCGUCCGACGUCUCCUUUCAUUCGAUGUUCCGUCCAGCUUUUGGGCGUUUCGUCCGGCGUCUUUUUCCGUCCAGUCGUACAGCUUCGUGGGAAUUCUAGCUUUUCCGAUCCAAUGGGUCCAGUGUUCGUGGCGUUCCGUCCAGCCGUCCAUAGAUCUGUACAUUCGAUGGGUCUGUAGAUCCGAUGGAUCCGGCGUUCGUGGCGUUCCAUCUGUAGAUCUGUCAAGCCAUCCGUAGAUCUGGCAUUCCAUCUGUAGAUCUGGUGUUCAAUUCGUAGAUCUGGCAUUCCAUCCGUAGAUCUAUUCAGCCGUCCGUAGAUCAUUGGUAGAUCUUCUCACCGUCCGUAGAUCUGGGAUUCUUUCAUCUCUUUGUUCGUAUUGUUCUUCCCCAAAUCCAGUAUCAUGACUAUCUAUAGGUUAUUACCGGAGAGGUGCUGCUUUUCUUGCUAUGGGGAAACUCAAAGAGGCACUUAAAGAUUUUCAACAAGUAUCUCAGGAUUUUAUCGUGAAGUCUCGAAUUUUUUCGUUACUGGAAGCUAUAACUCUUACUGGCUUUUAACGGCUAAAUAUCAGUUAUACUGCAUUGUUAUACUCAUUUGUGUAUCUAUUCCCUUUUAUCAGAAGAAAUUUCAGUUGAGAGUUUGUACUGUUGUAUGACCUUUAUGUCAUUAUUUGGACAAGUUAUUUGUUGAUUUCUCUUUCCCAAUAUGGUACUAAUGGCUGUUUGGAUAAUCAA